rnacentral:rRNA from 1 species
AAUGUUUAUUUUUUUGGUACAAGUUUUCCGUUGGUGAACCAGCGGAGGGAUCAUUACCGAGUUAUCAACUCCCAAACCCCUGUGAAUAUACCUAAAACGUUGCUUCGGCGGGACCGCCCCGGCGCCCACAGCGGCCCGGAACUCAGGCGCCCGCCGGAGGACCCAAACUCUUGUCUGAAUUUAUAGUGGCAUAUUCUGAGUCUCACAAACAAAUGAAUCAAAACUUUCAACAACGGAUCUCUUGGCUCUGGCAUCGAUGAAGAACGCAGCGAAAUGCGAUAAGUAAUGUGAAUUGCAGAAUUCAGUGAAUCAUCGAAUCUUUGAACGCACAUUGCGCCCGCCAGCAUUCUGGCGGGCAUGCCUGUUCGAGCGUCAUUUCAACCCUCAAGCCCUCCCCCCCAGGCGGGCUUGGUGUUGGGGACCGGCCCCGGCCGCCCCCGAAAUACAGUGGCGACCUCGCUGCAGCCUCCUCUGCGUAGUAGCACAACCUCGCACCGGAGCGCAGAGACGGUCACGCCGUAAAACGCCCAACUUCUCAAGAGUUGACCUCGGAUCAGGUAGGAAUACCCGCUGAACUUAAGCAUAUCA